rnacentral:rRNA from 1 species
GAUGAACGCUGGCGGCGUGCUUAACACAUGCAAGUCGAACGGAAAGGCCCUAGCUUGCUGGGGUACUCGAGUGGCGAACGGGUAAGUAACUCGUGGGUGAUCUGCCCUGCACUUUGGGAUAAGCUUGGGAAACUGGGUCUAAUACCGAGUAUGACCACUUCUUGGAUGUUGUGGUGGAAAGCUUUUGCGGUGUGGGAUGAGCCUGCGGCCUAUCAGCUUGUUGGUGGGGUAAUGGCCUACCAAGGCGGCGACGGGUAUCCGGCCUGAGAGGGUGUACGGACACAUUGGGACUGAGAUACGGCCCGGACUCCUACGGGAGGCAGCAGUGGGGAAUAUUGCACAAUGGGCGCAAGCCUGAUGCAGCGACGCCGCGUGGGGGAUGAAGGCCUUCGGGUUGUAAACUCCUUUCGCUAUCGACGAAGCCACUUGUGGUGACGGUAGGUAGAUAAGAAGCACCGGCUAACUACGUGCCAGCAGCCGCAGUAA